UGAUGUCGAAGGCGAGGACGAGGGUUGCAGCGGUGGACUCUUGGACACUGCCUUUGAUUUCAUCCUGAAAAACAAGGGCCUCACAACAGAAGUAAACUAUCCAUACAAAGGAGAAGAUGGUGUCUGCAACAAGAAAAAGUCAGCUCUUUCAGCAGCCAAAAUUACAGGUAAGCCCAUAAAAAUAUAAGGGGUAGAACAAAUCUUCAAUUGGGUGAGUUGGUUUAAUUAUGAUCUAGCCCAGCAACUUCAAACGAUAAAUAUUCCGAAUCCAUAAGCUUGAAAUUAUGACUUACGCCUCUUAUUACAGGAUAUGAAGAUGUGCCAGCGAACAGUGAGAAGGCUCUAUUGCAGGCAGUGGCUAAUCAACCUGUUUCGGUGGCAAUAGACGGGAGUAGCUUCGAUUUCCAGUUCUAUUCAAGUGGUGUAUUCAGUGGAUCAUGCAGCACUUGGCUUAACCACGCUGUUACAGCAGUGGGAUAUGGUGCAACAACUGACGGUACAAAAUAUUGGAUUAUAAAGAAUUCAUGGGGCAGUAAAUGGGGUGACAGUGGAUAUAUGCGCAUCAAAAGGGAUGUUCAUGAGAAAGAAGGCCUUUGUGGACUUGCUAUGGACGCUUCUUAUCCCACUGCCUAAAAGGAAAUUAAUUAUCCUUAGCUUUUUUCAGUACUUUUCAACCAUGUUUAUAUAUGUGAAUAUUGUGUUGUGGGUUUGAGGCAGACUUGGAUUAGACUGUCCAUACAUAGUUAAAGCACUUAAAAGGUGCCAGCUUUUAAAUUGUAAUUUUAUUUUCAUCUUGUGAAUUAUAAUAAUGGUUAUUGUCUAAAUUUGAUUUGACUAGUCACCGCCUUUUCCUUGGAGCAAACAAUAUGUGUGUGUAUGAAAUUAAUGUCCCA
rnacentral:lncRNA from 1 species